rnacentral:rRNA from 1 species
ACAGAGGUCCCAAGCGUUGUUCGGAUUCACUGGGCGUAAAGGGUGCGUAGGCGGUCGGGUAAGUCUGAUGUGAAAGCUCGGAGCUCAACUCCGAAAUGGCAUCGGAUACUAUUCGGCUAGAGGAAUGGAGGGGAGACUGGAAUACUUGGUGUAGCAGUGAAAUGCGUAGAUAUCAAGUGGAACACCAGUGGCGAAGGCGAGUCUCUGGACAUUUCCUGACGCUGAGGCACGAAAGCCAGGGGAGCAAACGGGA